GGAGAGUUUCAAGGCUCCUUCCCCUGGCUGCAAUUUUGGGGGAGCCGAGGAACUGCGGGGGCUGGGGAGGAAGCUGGAGAGCCACGGAGGGGGUGGGAAAGAAGAGGGACGUGGGGAGAAAGAAGCCAGAAGCCAGGGGGUGGGGAAGAGAGACGUCAGCGGGACCUGAGGGCGGCCAGGAGGGGUGGCACCGCGUCACCCCGCCCCCCAACUCUGCCAUAACCUGUUUCCACAGCCCCUUCCAUCCACAGAUCCGUGCUGCGUGCCCUCUGGGAAGGGUGAAGUAAAACCCUCAGUCUGAGCCUGAGAAAUCCUGGCAUUUGUAGCCCAGGGCUGCGAGGAAGCCACAGGGCGGUCCGCAGGGCGGUAUCGAGGCUCUGGGACCCAAGGAGGGGCAGGACGUCGUGCACCCCUCGCGCACGCACCUGUCGGGACCGGCCGCCUCCUCCUGCCUACCUGUCCUGCCUCCUUCGCCCCGAAUUUCACCUUAAACCAUGAUGAACCAAGCCCAGUGGAUUCUGAAGCCCGGGACGAUGGCAGUCCCAGGAUCUCAGGAUAUUGUUGGAACUCAUCUCCACCUCACACAGCCAGACCAGCCUCAGGUGUCUCCCAGGAAAGACUGCCCCUCAGGCCCUGGGACGGUUCCCAAGCCUGCCAGAAAUGAGGUGGAGGCCAACACUGACCUUUGGAUGGCUGAGUUUUGGAUGACUGACAGCCCCAGAUCCUGCUCCAGGUUCCUUCCUCAGGAA
ensembl:lncRNA novel transcript